rnacentral:misc_RNA from 1 species
GUAGGUGAACCUGCGGAAGGAUCAUUAUCGAAUAAACUUGAACAGGCUGUUGCUGGCCCUCUCGGGGGAAUACGUGCACGCUUGUCUCAUCUUUGUCAUUUUCCCCAACUGUGCACAUUUUGUAGACCCUGGAGCUUUAUGAAUUUUCAUUCGAGUCGGGACUGCUGUGCCUCCUUGAGGUCGGCUUUUCCUUGCAUCUCCAGGGUCUAUGUUAUCACAACCUCUCGAAUGCGUCUAGAAUGUUGAAUCAGGUUGCUUUUGCACCUAUAUAAAUGAAAAAAGUACAACUUUCAGCAACGGAUCUCUUGGCUCUC